GAUGAACGCUGGCGGCGUGCCUAAUACAUGCAAGUCGAGCGAACAGACGAGGAGCUUGCUCCUCUGACGUUAGCGGCGGACGGGUGAGUAACACGUGGAUAACCUACCUAUAAGACUGGGAUAACUUCGGGAAACCGGAGCUAAUACCGGAUAAUAUAUUGAACCGCAUGGUUCAAUAGUGAAAGACGGUUUUGCUGUCACUUAUAGAUGGAUCCGCGCCGCAUUAGCUAGUUGGUAGGGUAACGGCUUACCAAGGCGACGAUGCGUAGCCGACCUGAGAGGGUGAUCGGCCACACUGGAACUGAGACACGGUCCAGACUCCUACGGGAGGCAGCAGUAGGGAAUCUUCCGCAAUGGGCGAAAGCCUGACGGAGCAACGCCGCGUGAGUGAUGAAGGUCUUCGGAUCGUAAAACUCUGUCAUUAGGGAAGAACAAAUGUGUAAGUAACUAUGCACGUCUUGACGGUACCUAAUCAGAAAGCCACGGCUAACUACGUG
rnacentral:rRNA from 1 species